UAGGUCUCGUACGUGACCUGCGGAGGGAUCAUUACACAAAUAUGAAGGCGGGCUGGAACCUCUCGGGGUUACAGCCUUGCUGAAUUAUUCACCCUUGUCUUUUGCGUACUUCUUGUUUCCUUGGUGGGUUCGCCCACCACUAGGACAAACAUAAACCUUUUGUAAUUGCAAUCAGCGUCAGUAACAAAUUAAUAAUUACAACUUUCAACAACGGAUCUCUUGGUUCUGGCAUCGAUGAAGAACGCAGCGAAAUGCGAUAAGUAGUGUGAAUUGCAGAAUUCAGUGAAUCAUCGAAUCUUUGAACGCACAUUGCGCCCUUUGGUAUUCCAAAGGGCAUGCCUGUUCGAGCGUCAUUUGUACCCUCAAGCUUUGCUUGGUGUUGGGCGUCUUGUCUCUAGCUUUGCUGGAGACUCGCCUUAAAGUAAUUGGCAGCCGGCCUACUGGUUUCGGAGCGCAGCACAAGUCGCACUCUCUAUCAGCAAAGGUCUAGCAUCCAUUAAGCCUUUUUUUCAACUUUUGACCUCGGAUCAGGUAGGGAUACCCGCUGAACUUAA
rnacentral:rRNA from 1 species